CAGUAGCCGCGGUAAUACGAAGGGUGCAAGCGUUAAUCGGAAUUACUGGGCGUAAAGCGUGCGUAGGCGGUUUGUUAAGUCUGUUGUGAAAUCCCCGGGCUCAACCUGGGAAUGGCAAUGGAUACUGGCAAGCUAGAGUGUGUCAGAGGAUGGUGGAAUUCCCGGUGUAGCGGUGAAAUGCGUAGAGAUCGGGAGGAACAUCAGUGGCGAAGGCGGCCAUCUGGGACAACACUGACGCUGAGGCACGAAAGCGUGGGGAGCAAACAGGAUUAGAUACCCGGGUAGUCCCUGUCUCUUAUAC
rnacentral:rRNA from 1 species